rnacentral:misc_RNA from 1 species
GAAAUUUUGGGGGUAAGAACGGUCGUAUCACACCCUUCUGGAUUUUCCAAUCAAGUGGAUUUAUAGCUGCUGCCUCCACUUUUAACAGAACUUCACCUUUUUUCGGUGAAGGAAUUGGAACUUCAACUUGCUUCAAAGCAGCAGCGCCACCGCCGUAGCCGUCGUAAUGAACGGCCCGCAUGGUUUUCCCUGCCAUUGCGGCGAAUUUGACGGAACCGAACAAAUGUAGUGCGAAACGAC